CCAUUACACCAUGGAACCGCCAGCGGCCCUGUAUUCCCGCCGCUGAGCCAGGGCUGGCGCAGCCGCGCCGGCCCAGGACCCGCCUCCCGCCCGGCGCUCUCAUCACCCCGCCCCGAGCAGCUUCCUCCACAACGCCAGGGGGCGCCUGCCUCGCCGGCCUGCAGCCGUCUCUUCAGGUUUGGACUCCGUGGAAUGAGACGAAACCUAUUCGAGGGGAACAACAGGGAAGGGCUUUUUGGGCCUCCUCUGCCGGCAUUUCUAGAGUUUUCUAUCCAGAAGUAAAAUUCUCGCCAGAAAAAAAGUUCCUUUUCUUUUUGCAGUUGUCCUCUUCCCGCUGCCCUAGGAGCGCUAAACAUCCCCAGAAGAGCCCUUCGGACUUCGUGGGAUGUCCGCUUCCUGGGACCCCAGGUCCAAGGGUAGUAAAAUCGGGGGGCACUGCCAGCUUCGUUCGGGGACAGAACGUCCUCUCUGUGUUGGGAACCCGAUCGAAGCCAAAGCGACAGCGGCCCCGCACAUCUCACCGCGAGCACCCACGCCGCUGGCGCCCAGUGGGGUGUGGUCGGAUACACAGGCGGGCAGCUGCUGAAACUCAGUAGUUCCUGGAUCUUCACUAUUUGGCCCCAGGAUGGUUUCUCCCCGCCCUCAUCAGGUGCAACUGGUCUCUGCACUAUCUGCAGCCCUGCAACUACCCUGACCUGCAUGAUUCCACACCGAUUCCAGAGAACUACCAGGCUGCAGAGGCUGAAGGCACAGGCAUGGGACUUACCACGGCCCAUGGACUAUAGCCCAUCAGCCUCCUCUGUCUGUGGGAUUUCCCAGCCAAGAAUACUGGAGUGCAUUGCCUUUUCUUUCUCCAGGUGAUUUUCCGGAACCAGGGAUUGAACCUGGGUCUCCUGGAUUGCAGGCAGAUUCUUUAUCGACUAAGCCACCUGGGAAGCCCUAAUGGUUAAUAACAGACCAUUUAAAUAUAUAUAUACAGUAGUCUGUGUGUACUUUUGGGGGCAUUUCCUAGAUUAAUUUUCCUGGAAGACAAACGUUCCUGCUCCCCUUCUACGUUGCUUUGGGA
ensembl:lncRNA